UAAAGGCUGCAAUGGGAUAAAAAGCCCAAAUAUAAAGUAUCGUAGAAGUGCGACUUUAUGCGAAAGCUAAAGAUGAAGAUCGAACGAUACGUAUUUCUGUGUACCUUUCUUGUAAUAGGGAUGCUGACUGUUGAGGGUGAAAGCUUUGGAAAUCUUAUUCCGCAUGGGAAAAAGAUACUGUAUAAAAGAAAGCUUGGGAAUUCUGCAAGUGCGUGCUGUGCUGGACAACCAAGCAAAGAAUCCAAUGGUUAUCGAGAUGACGUUUGGACAAGAAACAACGACGCAAGCGAACAAGAGAAAAAUUACAUUUGAAUUAAAUGGAAAUUUUCUUAGAAUUUAAGGUGUUCGACAGACGGAGGGAAGCAAAGAUGAUAGCGUAGACCUUUGGAGAGACAGUAAUGAAAAUUAAAACUGAUGAAAUUUGUAAAUUUUAUUACACCGUCAAAGUCGCCAUUAAAAGAAUUAGACUACAAA